rnacentral:rRNA from 1 species
AUCUGAAAUGAAUCAAAGGCUUGCCGCUAUAGGAUGGGGAUGCGUCUGAUUAGAUAGUAGGCGGGGUAACGGCCCACCUAGUCGACGAUCAGUAGGGGUUCUGAGAGGAAGGUCCCCCACAUUGGAACUGAGACACGGUCCAAACUCCUACGGGAGGCAGCAGUGAGGAAUAUUGGUCAAUGGACGGGAGUCUGAACCAGCCAAGUAGCGUGCAGGAUGACGGCCCUAUGGGUUGUAAACUGCUUUUAUACGGGGAUAAAGUGAGCCACGUGUGGCUUUUUGUAGGUACCGUAUGAAUAAGGACCGGCUAAUUCCGUGCCAGCAGCCGCGGUAAUACGGAAGGUCCGGGCGUUAUCCGGAUUUAUUGGGUUUAAAGGGAGCGCAGGCCGAAGGUUAAGCGUGACGUGAAAUGUAGCCGCUCAACGGCUGAACUGCGUCGCGAACUGGCUUUCUUGAGUGAGUUCGAUGUGGGCGGAAUUCGUGGUGUAGCGGUGAAAUGCUUAGAUAUCACGAAGAACUCCGAUUGCGAAGGCAGCCCACAAGGCCUUUACUGACGCUAAAGCUCGAAGGUGCGGGUAUC